rnacentral:rRNA from 1 species
GAUGAACGCUAGCGGCAGGCCUAAUACAUGCAAGUCGGACGGGAUUGAGGAGCUUGCUUCUCCUGAGAGUGGCGCACGGGUGCGUAACACGUAUUUUACCUACGUUGUUCAGGGGGAUAGCCUCUCGAAAGACAGCUUGAGAUCGCAUAACGUAGUGAUGUUGCAUUAUAUUACUACAAAAUAUUUAUAGGAACAAGAUGGGCAUGCGGAACAUUAGCUAGUUGGUAAGGUAACGGCUUACCAAGGCUACGAUGUUGAGGGGGAUCUGAGAGGAUUACCCCCCACACUGGUACUGAGACACGGACCAGACUCCUACGGGAGGCAGCAGUAAGGAAUAUUGGUCAAUGGACGGAAGUCUGAACCAGCCAUGCCGCGUGCAGGAAGACGGCCCUACGGGUUGUAAACUGCUUUUAUACGGGAAUAAACCUACUUACGUGUAAGUAGCUGAAUGUACUGUAAGAAUAAGGAUCGGCUAACUCCGUGCCAGCAGCCGCCGUAACAC